rnacentral:rRNA from 1 species
UCGGGAAUAUUGCGCAAUGGAGGAAACUCUGACGCAGUGACGCCGCGUGCAGGAAGAAGGUUUUCGGAUUGUAAACUGCUUUAGACAGGGAAGAAAAGGACAGUACCUGUAGAAUAAGCUCCGGCUAACUACGUGCCAGCAGCCGCGGUAAUACGUAGGGAGCAAGCGUUAUCCGGAUUUAUUGGGUGUAAAGGGUCGUAGACGGGAAAUUAAGUUAGUUGUGAAAUCCCUCGGCUUAACUGAGGAACUGCAACUAAAACUGGUUUUCUUGAGUGCUGGAGAGGAAAGUGGAAUUCCUAGUGUAGCGGUGAAAUGCGUAGAUAUUAGGAGGAACACCAGUGGCGAAGGCGACUUUCUGGACAGUAACUGACGUUGAGGCACGAAAGUGUGGGGAGCAAACAGGAUUAGAUACC